rnacentral:lncRNA from 1 species
CUCAUUUAAGGGCCGGCAGUGGAAGCAAAAACAUCUGUGUACUCGAGUCCUCCUGAAGAGAAUCCUUGUCUUGGCCUGAGUAGAGAGAGCACUUGCAGAACUGGUAGCUGUUUCCUGUUGAUUGUGCUUCGUGAAAUCAGUUCCUAUACAUCUUCAACUGUGCGCUGUCUUUAUCUUGAACUGAAGUUCCAGGUCAUUCCUAUGAUACCCUGUUGCAUGAGAGAGAAAAUGAAUUUAAAAAACUCCUGGAGAAUCUCAGUUUAUGACAGAAGUCUGGCUUCCUUAAAGCAACAGCUGUCUUAUCAGAAUGACAGCCUCGGGGAGCUCUACAGCCCCUUUGUUUUCAUGGAUUGACUGUGACCCUCUCGCUACAAAUUACUCUGGAAGACAGUUUGCCAAGUGAUUUUUAAGUGAUAUAGGAGAGGAGCUGAGAAUAUCGUGCAUUGAUUUCUUACUCAAAGAAAGAUUGUCUUAUGCAACAUGGCAAAAAUCUAUGUACCCAUCUUUUACAGAGCUAAUUGUGAAGGUAAUGAUUUUUUUUUUGGAAGCCCAACUGAAAGUCUAAAAUCAUAGCUCCCCUUAUUCACGUAACAAGAUAAGAGAUGAUGUGCAGACAAUAUGCCAUAGAUUAUUUUGCUAGGUGAUAACAAAAAGCAAUAUGUUCAGAGGACAUAUUGCUUAAUUUUAAAGAAGGUAGCUAAAUGUCUGAAUCUUUCUUCAUAAUUCUCCCUGAACGGUAAUAGUAGAGAAUUUAUCACAUAGAAGUAUUCUAGUUUCACUAUUCAUUUCUUUCCUGCUUUACAUCUUUAAGUUUGAGGUUGAUACCUGAUUAAAACAUUUCUCUCACACCAGAGAAGUUUCCAAUUAAAAAAAAAAAAAAAAAUUCCUUAGCAAAAUCACAGCAAGUAGCAGGGUGUAUUUUCCACCAGAUACUGACAUCUGAAGUCGUUAUAGGUUACAAGGAUAAUUAUAGUCCAUUUGCAUAGACUGAUGCCGAGUCUUUUUACAAUAAAAGCAGGAAAGGAUUAGUAUGCUUAUUCACGGUCCCAGCAUAUUGUGCGCUAGAUUCUUGAAAUAACAAUCUGUUGUCUCCCCGCAUUGCUGCCCCCUUCAUUGUAUGUUUUCUGGCUUGAAAAAAUUUAAGUAUAAACUUGCUUUUG